UCUGUCCAGAGACAUAUGAGUUGUAACACAUUGAUGAAGAAUGCAGUGAAAUGUGAUAAGUAAUGUGAAUUGCAGAAUUCAGUAAAUCAUCGAAUCUUUGAAUGUAUCUUGCACUCCUUGGUAUUCUGAGGAGCAUGCCUGUUUGAGAGUCA
rnacentral:rRNA from 1 species